AUUGUGCAGGGCACAGCACACAGGCUUACAGAGGGCCUGUAGAAGAGUUCUCCGUGGAGUAUUUCGGGCAACAGGAGGAGCACAUGCAGUUUUCAAAGAUGAAGGUUCAAUGUAUUACGUAUUGUGUAAAAUGCAUAACAAACUACCUGAACAUAGGAAGUAUCCAUAAAAUGGAGGUCUGCAGCUGAGAUGUGGUGAAGACAGCGACGUUUGAGAAGGACCUUGAAGUAUGCAUGGAAUUUCCUUACGGCAGAGAAUAGGCAUUCCAGAACUUGGAAACGGAAAUUCUGAGAUGGGAAGAAACCUACAUAUUAUCCAGAAGGAUCCCCAGGCCCUUUCUGAUAUGGAGAGCAGUGAAGUCCAUGCUAAAUCUAGGCACCUCUUGAGUGCAGGUCCUAGAGGAGCUUCCAAAGGGAAGACAACUCCGAAAGGAAUCAGGCCUCUACUCGACCUUGUCUGGUUGAGUCCUGCUGCACUAGCCACCCUGAUUUGUGUUAUUUGUUGACCGAGGCUGGAGAGCUGAGGCCAUGUUUUCUUCUUCUUUAUGACUCUGAGAAUUACCAUGGAACCUGACACAUGGUAAGCCCUUAGGAAAUCAUCCUGUGGACAGUGACUACUACUCAUCACCACUUCAGGUGAAAGGUUUUGCUUCACUUGGAUAGGAACCAAGCCAGCCACAUGGAAAGAAAAAUAACUUGGGUUUUAGCCAGAUGAUACCAAAAUGACCCCAGAACCAGAAGAUGGCAGAGCCACAAAGUGAAAAAUACUUGGGUCUCUGAGUCAUAGCUUGGAGGAGGGCUUCCUGGAAAACCAUCCCAACAGAGACAUCCACAUUAAACUUUGUGUAAACAAAAAAUAAAUCUUUCUGGUGGUAGGCCACUGAGAUUUAGAUUGCCACAGCAGCUAACCGGUCUGACCAAUACAGCAGAGAACUCCUCCAGUGCUCUCAAGUGUUUUACAGACCACUAAUUAUUAAAUGUGGAAGCUCUGGAGCAGAGAACCUUUCAACUGAAAUGAUGACAAAUGAUGCUGGCUGAGGAGAGUCAGACCUGAAAAAUUAGGGAUCCCUAAAAUGACGUCAACCUAUAAUUCCUAUUACAGAGCUCUGAUUUCUACUGAUCGUUUUAGGAACCAUAUCUACUAUGUGAGAAAAGCUGCUGGUGGGCCUAAUUUAGAUGAAAAGCAGAAAGGCCUUAAAAAAGAAAUGGGAAAGGAAUAUACAGAAGCAAGAAGAUGAUUGAAAAAAGAUGGCAAUUCAUGUACUUGUUGAACACCAGUUCUGAGCUGCAGAGCAGGAGGCACAAGACGUAAACAAAAAAGUCUCUGUUAUGGUCCUAAAGAAGCCAACCUUCUAGAGAAAUGUAUGCACAGCAGGUCCAGCAGAAUGGGCUUUGUGCUGAUGAGGGCAGCAGGAGGAGAGCAUGGGCUGGGAAAGGAGAUGAUCAGGCUCACUUCCCAUUUCUCUGUGGAAGAACUGUGGCGAACACAGAGUCAACUCACAACGUUCAUUGGAAUUUUUCCCACUUGACUCCUUCGCAAGUUGGAAUAAGGGGUUUGGAAAGGGAGGAUUUCUUCAUAUAAAAAUGGUCUGGGUAUAUCCAUGCAAAACUAAACGGAGUGGAAGAGACCCUAGGUCUACACAUUUGAUGGGAUAGAUCCUUGGUGCUCAGCCUCACCUGCAGGUACUGAAGGAAGCCUUAGUCUGCUAUACAGAGCACUCUGCACCAUGGGGAGAAGAUCAAUAUGCUAAACUUGGAUACUGGGCCUAAAUCUUAAGAAGUGACCUCAAACCUAGGAAG